rnacentral:rRNA from 1 species
UGGGGAAUUUUGGACAAUGGGGGAAACCCUGAUCCAGCCAUCCCGCGUGUGCGAUGAAGGCCUUCGGGUUGUAAAGCACUUUUGGCAGGAAAGAAACGUCGCGGGUUAAUACCCCGCGAAACUGACGGUACCUGCAGAAUAAGCACCGGCUAACUACGUGCCAGCAGCCGCGGUAAUACGUAGGGUGCAAGCGUUAAUCGGAAUUACUGGGCGUAAAGCGUGCGCAGGCGGUUCGGAAAGAAAGAUGUGAAAUCCCAGAGCUUAACUUUGGAACUGCAUUUUUAACUACCGGGCUAGAGUGUGUCAGAGGGAGGUGGAAUUCCGCGUGUAGCAGUGAAAUGCGUAGAUAUGCGGAGGAACACCGAUGGCGAAGGCAGCCUCCUGGGACAACACUGACGCUCAUGCACGAAAGCGUGGGGAGCAAACAGGAUUAGAUACCCUGGUAGUCCACGCCCUAAACGAUGUCAACUAGCUGUUGGGGCCUUCGGGCCUUGGUAGCGCAGCUAACGCGUGAAGUUGACCGCCUGGGGAGUACGGUCGCAAGAUUAAAACUCAAAUGAAUU